rnacentral:lncRNA from 1 species
AAAUAUGUCUUCUAAAUACUUGUUAGUCUUGUUUCUUCUCGGAGCAUUAGUGCUUCUCUCCACAACCCCCUCAUAUUCUGAUCCCCAUCAAGCCCCUAAAAAUGAAGGAGAGAAACCACCUCCAAAACAUAAACCACCACAUGGUCAUCUUCUAGCUGAAAGUGUAGAAGAAUUUCAUGAACAUGCAAAAGGUAAAAGAGACAAGCCACCACCUAAACACAAACCACCACAUGGACAUCUUUUAGCUGAGGAAGUAGAUGAUUCUUUUAAACCGCCUAUGGGUAAGGGAGAAAAAUUUCCACCGGAACACAAACCACGUAAUCCUCCAUCAGAGCAUAAGCCACCGCACAAGCCUCCACAUGCGCAAAAGCCACUAAAUAGACGUCUUUUACAAGUAGAUAUUGAGGAUGCACAUAAAGAAAAGGGAGAGAAGCCACCACAUGGACAUCUUUUGGCCGAGGAAGUUAUGGAGGACUCGCCUAAGAAAAAGGGAGAGAAGCCACCACCGAAGCACAAGCCACCACAUGGACAUCUUUUGGCCGAGGAAGAGGUCGAGGACUCACACAAAGGGAAGGGAGAGAAGCCACCACCAAAGCACAAGCCACCACAUGGACAUCUUUUGGCCGAGGAAGAAGUUGAGGACUCACACAAGGGAAAGGGAGAGAAGCCACCACCAAAACACAAGCCUCCGCAUGGACAUCUUUUAGCUGAAGAAAAAGUUGAGGACUCACACAAGGGAAAAGGAGAGAAGCCACCACCAAAACACAAGCCCCCGAAUGGACAUCUUUUAGCUGAAGAAGAAGUUGAUGACUCACACAAAGGAAAGGGAGAGAAGCCACCACCAAAGCACAAGCCACCACAUGGACAUCUUUUGGCCGAGGAAGAGGUCGAGGACUCAUACAAAGGAAAGGGAGAGAAACCACCACCAAAACACAAACCUCCACAUGGACAUCUUUUAGCCGAGGAAGAAGUUGAGGACUCACACAAGGGAAAGGGAGAGAAACCACCACCAAAACACAAGCCCCCACAUGGACAUCUUUUAGCCGAGGAAGAAGUUGAUGACUCGCACAAGGGAAAGGGAGAAAAGCCACCACCAAAACACAAGCCACCUCACGGGCACUUAUUAGUUGAAGAGGUUGAAGACUCACACAAGGGGAAAGGAGAAAAACCACCGCCAAAGCACAAACCACCUCAUGGACACCUUUUAGCUGAAGAGGCCAACGACUCUCACAAAGGAAAGGGAGAGAAGCCACCAUGCAAGUCUCCUCACAAACCCCCAUCAGCCAACUAAGUGCCUUACGCUAAUUUCGCUAGAUGCUUAAAAAUAAGAAACAGAAGUAGUUUACUCUUCUGUUGGUUUCUGUAUCUGCAUUUUUCACUGAAUUAGUAUUUGUACUUUGGCUUGUAUUAUAUGAGUACUACCCUCUAGUUGGCUGUUUUAUGUAGAUUAUGGUUUUAUGUUCUAGUGCUGCGCGUAUUAUUUCAGUUGACUUAACUUUUAUUUGCAAAAUAUACAGCAAGACAUGCACACAAUCCUAGUACGUAGUUUUGCCACAUGCAUAUAUUUGGUGGUAGGAUAUUGUCAACGACAACAACGUUUAAUUACUUUAACUUAAACACGUGCUGAUGAUUUUUUUUUUUGUAAAAGCCCUUUAUUAGUAAACUAGUAUUACUCUGACAUCAACAGAUAUACCAUAGGUUUUGUCUAAAACUUGAAGGUUUCUGUAGUUUAAUUUGGUAAGUAAAAUUUUUUGUGUGUAGCACAUAAUGAAUAUGUUACUUACAUGUGUAGAUUUAUAUUUUACAUUUUAUUUUAAUAUUAGAUAAUUAAUAUAUAUAUAUUUAAUUAUUUAAAUUUAUAUAUAUUACUAAUUUAUUAAUUUAGUCUAUAUAUAUAUAUGAUAUACAUUUAAGUUAAAUUAGGUAAGAAGUUAUUAAGUACUUCCAAAUUAAUAUGAAAUAAUUCUCUAAAGGAAAUGAAUCAACUCUUGGAAAAUGUCGGGAGAAAAGAUUUCAAAUUUCUGCAUGUCUCUGUUUCUGCUCAGUGGAUGUCUCUGUUUCUGCUUGCUGCCUAUGUUGCAAUAUUUAUUUGGCUUUUUAUUCCUGGUAAAUUUCUUAUUUUCCUCUUAAUUUUGACUAGGCCGGCUGAUUCGGGAGUAAGAUUUAAGUAGUUUUAUAUUUAAUGAAAAGUAGAAUUCUGAAGAAGCGAAAAUAAAUAUAAAAAGGGAUAAUUGGUGUUCUGAGUGAAUCAUUAUUAAACACAAAAUUAGUAUUACAAACAAAAUUGCAAUUAUCAAAAUGACAGUAUGCUCCACAGAUAGAUGAUUAUCUAAUCAGUACUUAUAAUUAGCCUAAAUUUAAUAGGAAUAGUACAGAAUUAAACUUUCUUUUUUAAAAAAAGGGUCAUUAAACUGAAUCAUAAGAACAGGAUAGAGAGUAUUUGUAAUCAAAGAAACAUAGAGAGAAUUCAAAGUAAUGCCCCCAGAUGAUAGCCCUGAACAAUAAAUAUUACUUAGAAAAACAAACUGCCAAGAGAAAUUAGUCAAUAAAAUUUAGAUUGAAUCACGAUAUUUAUAAACGAGUAGAUAAAUAUAUCUUUUUUAUUAAAAAAUAAUAUUGCAUAAUUCAUCUUAAUUUAUUUCAACUUUUACUCAUAAAAUGUGAUAUAUAAUAUAUUUAUAAAAUUAUUAAUAUUUUGAUAUUACUCUCUUAAUUAAUAAAUAAUUCCAUAAAAACAUCAUACACCAUAUUAUAUAAACAAUAGUUGGGACAAAUCAAAAUGAAAUGUUUAGCAUUUUUCUAGUUAAAACCUAUUCUACAAUUCAAACCAAAAAUAGCAGUCCAAGAAAGCAUAUCUUUCACUAAUAAUCCAAACAAAUCGCUAAUUCUAAACAACCACGUUUUGGUUAAAAGAUUAUUAAUUUAGUUUGUCUAAUAAUUCGAUCCUGAAUUUGCUGAGCCGCAGUAGGAUCUCGCUCGUAUAUACAAAUCCUGAAGAAGAUCACUAUAAAUUUCUGAUCCAAUAAUGAAACUUUGAAGUCCAUAAGUAGGUUUAGGAGAAAUUUAAAGGCAGAUUCAGUUUUAAUAUUAAAUUAUAAAUAAUAUCAAUUAUACAGUAAUAUAUAACAUUAUUUACUGAUUAUUACACUUAUAUCAGUUGAAUUCUAGCCAUAAAUAAUGAAUGGUAUGGAUAGUAGUACUUAAAAAGAAUAAUCUCCAUAUAUAUAUAAAUGCAUGGAAUUUAAUAACUUUCACACCUAUGAAAUUAUCCCACCUAAAACAGAAAACCUUAGUAUUAAAUUGAGAAUAAUGCAGAAAUAUAAAUAUUUGAAAUAAUUACAAAUAAUGCAGAAAUACAAGGACCGCAGGAAAACAGAGGCCACACACUCUUGGCUGGAAUGAUUUUCCUAUUUUUGCAUGCUCACCCAUUACUCUACUCUAUCGCAUUAUUAUUGUUCAAAACUUCACAACUUAACAAAUAUACUUCCAACACAUCACAUGCGUGACCCAUUAAUUAUUACAUGUGAACGUAAAAUGAGAAGUGGUGACAACAGCAGUGAUGUCACACUUUCUGAUAUUACUACAAUUCUUGGAUGACUUACCUUAAUUCCUUUCUGGUGCAUGUUGCAGUAAUUUAUUAGAAAUACAUAAGACCUUUUUUUUCUUCCUAUCUCUUUGUUUCAUUGUAGAAUAGUCCGAGACAACGAUAAUAUCUUACACUUAAUUUGUCUGUAAAUAUAUAUACACUUGACUUUACAUGCUAUAGUAUUAUUAACUAGUCACCUAGACAGAUUUGAAGUAGAUAAUAUUUAUCGAUAAAUUACUUUCUAGAUUUCUAUUUUAUGGUUACAUACAUCAAAAUUUCUGCAAAACAAGUGGAGAAUAGCCUAAUUUGGGGAUUCAAAGAAACUUUGAUGGCUUCUUUUUCUACUCGAAAUUAUACUAAAAAUAAUUCAUAAACAUGAAUGAUCCAAGGGUGGAGAGCAAGACUCUUAGCCAGUUUGUCAAAAAUUUUAACUCGAUGGGACCCAAUAGAUCUAAUUGGUUCGUAAGAGAGCCAAAUGUAUUCAACUUCACUACAUAGUGUACUAAUCUAUAGUAAAGGACAGGUGCAGUAUGACAUGGGUGGUGACGACAUAGUCCCACCGUCCACCCAUGCAAUAUUAUAAAAGGCAGAGCAAAGCUUCAAGUUUUGCACCAUCAACUGAACCCCAAAUAUGUCUUCUAAAUACUUGCUAGUGUUGUUCCUCCUCGGAGCAUUAGUGCUUCUCUUCACAACCCCCUCAUAUGCUGAUCAUCAUGAGCCCCUUAGAAAUAAAGGAGAGAAACCACCUCCAAAACAUAAACCACCACAUGUUCAUCUUCUAGCUGAAAAUAUAGAAGAUUUUCAUGGACAUGCAAAAGGUAAAAGAGACAAGCCACCACCUAAACAUAAACCACCACAUGGACAUCUUUUAGCUGAGGAAGUAGAUGAUUAUUCUACAUCUCCGGGAUGGAAACUACAUAAUCCUCCAUCAGAGCAUAAACCACCGCAUAAGCCUCCACAUGAGCAAAAGCCACUAAAUAGACGUCUUUUACAAGUAGAUAUUGAGGAUGCACAUAAAGAAAAGGGAGAGAAGCCACCACAUGGACAUCUUUUGGCCGAGGAAGUUAUGGAGGACUCGCCUAAGAAAAAGGGAGAGAAGCCACCACCAAAGCACAAGCCACCACAUGGACAUCUUUUGGCCGAGGAAGAGGUCGAGGACUCACACAAAGGGAAGGGAGAGAAGCCACCACCAAAGCACAAGCCACCACAUGGACAUCUUUUGGCCGAGGAAGAAGUUGAGGACUCACACAAGGGAAAGGGAGAGAAGCCACCACCAAAACACAAGCCCCCGCAUGGACAUCUUUUAGCUGAAGAAAAAGUUGAGGACUCACACAAGGGAAAAGGAGAGAAGCCACCACCAAAACACAAGCCCCCGCAUGGACACCUUUUAGCUGAAGAAGAAGUUGAUGAUUCGCACAAGGGAGAGGGAGAAAAGCCACCACCAAAACACAAGCCACCUCACGGGCACUUAUUAGUUGAAGAGGUUGAAGACUCACACAAGGGGAAAGGAGAAAAACCACCGCCCAAGCACAAACCACCUCAUGGACACCUUUUAACUGAAGAGAUCAACGACUCUUACAAAGGAAAGGGAGAGAAGCCACCUCACAAGCCUCCCCACAAACCCCCAUCAGCCGACUAAGUACCUUAGGCUAAUUUCGCUAAAUGCUUAGAAAUAAGAAACAGAAGUCUACUCUUCUGUUGGUUUCUGUAUCUGCAUUUUCACUGAAUUAGUAUUUGUACUUUGGCUUGUAUUAUAUGAAUACUACCCUCUAGUUGGCUGUUUUAUGUAGAUUAUGGUUUUAUGUUCUAGUGCUGUGUGUAUUAUUUCAGUUGAUUUAACUUUUAUUUGCAAACUAUACAGCAAUACAUGCACUUACUCCUAGUACGUAGUUCUGCCACAUGCAUAUAUUUGGUGGUAGGAUAUUGCCAACGACAACAACGUUUAAUUACUUUAACUUAAAUCAAAUAUGAAAUGAUUCUCUUAAUUAAAACUAAAUUUUUUUUAUACCCUAAUUUAACCCUUAUUUAUUAAUUAUAUUUAUUAAAUCUCUUAUUAGUUAAAGUAUAUAUAAUAAAACUAGGUAAGAAUGUGUGAGAUUUCAAAUUUCUUCAUAUCUGUCACUGGUUAUUUCAUGUCUCUGUUUCUGCUUGCUGCCUAUGUUGCAACAUUCAUUUGGCUUCUUAUUCCUAGUCAAUUACUUAUUUGCCUCUCGAUUUUGACUAGGUCGAUAGUAAGCUUAAAGUUUAAUUUCAAACAGUUUCAUAUUUAAAGAAAAGUAGUAUUUUGAAGAAGCGGAAAUAAACACAAAAAAAAGAUAGUUGGUGCAAUGAGUAAAUCAUUUUCAAAUAUAAAAUUAUUAUUACAAGCAAAAUUGGAAUUAUUAGAAUGACAGUAUGCUCCAAAGAUAAGAGUAUAAUAUGAAUAGUACAAAAUUAGCCUUUUUCUUUAAACAAAAUAAUUCAGUAAACUGAUCAUAAGAACGUAAUAAAGAGUAAAAUUCUAUCCUACAUUUGUAUUUCAAAAGUAAAAAAUAUUAAUUUUUAAAUACAUUUGGUUCUCAGUGAUUGACAAGAUAAAAUCUUAUUUAACUUUCUCCUUAUAGAGUAGGAAUUCCAGAUACAUAUUAUCUUACCAAGGGUUUGAUAAUGACAUUUUAAUUACAGCACCACUAUAGACAAGUAGCCAUUGUUAAUGGAGGUUAUCAUUCCAAUUUCCCUCUUGUGAAGUUAUUAAUUUGUGGAGAUUAUAAAGGACUCCAAUCUUUAACCCUUCCAAUGAGUUAAAAAAAUAUAAAAUAUUUCUUAUCAAAUUGCACCAUCAACAACUCAUACGAAUGCCACCUUUAUGGCCGCAAAACAGAGUGCUUGAUAACCAAAUUUAAGAUAAAUCUCAAUUCGACGGUAAGUGCAUCACUUAGAUUUGUUACAUCCUAAUAAUAUAUACUAAAUUUAUAAAUAAUUAAUAUAUAUUUUAUUAAUUUAAAUAAUAAAAUAUAUAAAUUAUAUAUAUAUCAACUGCCAGUGGUACCUUUUUUAAACUAAAGGAAGCUAUUAGUGGAGACAAGCUUUAGAAGUGAACGCCACUCAUCUGCUAAACUACAAAAGAUGCCACCACACCUCUGACGUCAAAUGAUAUGCAUGUGCUCUAGUCACUGUUGAAACUAAGAAAUUAUUAACCGUGAGCCUAAUAUCCAAAGAACCUUUGGAUCCAAUCAAUUGAUUUUAGAUAAACUAUGGUGAAAAUAUAUCAUUUUUCGUUACUCUUCAGCUUUCCACCAAAUUCAGCCCCCCAAAAGUUCAAGAAAAAAAAUUAAUACCAAGGAUAAUAUAAAUUCCAAGAGUUUAGGCGAAUAAUUUUUUUUCUGAUCAGCAUUUUGCAAUUAGUUGAAAAUUGGAACUUGCCAGAAGCUGUGCAGCUCAAUUUUAUCAGGCACAUACGAAAACACACUUCCUAUUUCUCUGAAAGUUUGUCUUGCAGCAGUUUAAGAUGAACAAAAGCAAGUUGGUUUUCUGCUUGUAAUUUACAACUCAAUUAGAUUAUAGAAGAAAUUAAAACAGUAAUAUGUAAUUCUUUGGGGCAUAACCUUUAAUACUACUGAUAAGUAUAACGGAUACGUUCCUAAAUUAUAUUGUACUAAAUUUACAACCGCAAGGAGAUCCAAGUUGGAGAGUUAAUAAUCACACUAGGUUAGGAGAAAGAGCAAUAACUUGGCCAUAUUGUCAAAGUUUUCAACUAGUUGGAACCCGGUGGAUCUUCUUCUCUAAACCGGUGGAUCUUCUUCUCUAACAUGAAAUUUUAAACAGCCAACUUGACUGCAUAGGGUACUAGGUUAGUAAAGACAAGAAAGUAUGACAUGAACAAAAACCACUUAAUAGACGUCUUUUACAAGUAGAUAUUGAGGAUGCACAUAAAGGAAAGGGAGAGAAGCCACCGCAUGGACAUCUUUUGGCCGAGGAAGUUAUGGAGGACUCGUAUAAGAACAAGAGAGAGAAGCCACCACAUGGACAUCUUUUGGCCGAGGAAUAAGUGGAGGAUUCACGCAAAGGAAACGGAGAGAAACCACCACCAAAACACAAACCUCCACAUGGACAUCUUUUAGCUGA